rnacentral:rRNA from 1 species
UACGUAGGGCGCAAGCGUUGUCCGGAAUUAUUGGGCGUAAAGAGCUCGUAGGCGGUUUGUCGCGUCUGCUGUGAAAGCUCGGGGCUUAACCUCGGGUUUGCAGUGGGUACGGGCAGACUAGAGUGCAGUAGGGGAGACUGGAAUUCCUGGUGUAGCGGUGAAAUGCGCAGAUAUCAGGAGGAACACCGAUGGCGAAGGCAGGUCUCUGGGCUGUUACUGACGCUGAGGAGCGAAAGCAUGGGAGCGAACAGG